GAUGGGCCAGCAGCACCCUAAGCCAUUCACUCCAUGGGGCCCAGUAGGACAGGACAAGAAAUGGCUCGGGGCAGGGAGAGAACAGCCACCUGUGGAGGACACAGCCCCUCAUCAGCGACCGGGUUCACCCAUCACGGGGGUAUCCCUGCUCAGAGAGAAGAGGCCUAAGGAGCACUGGGGUCCAGUCCCAAGACAGUCUGGUGUCCAGGGAUACAGAGGCGCCCCCACCCCCUCACAGCUCUGCAGGCCAUGCACGAAGGCCUGUGUGGAUGAGAACCGUGUGUGUUGGUAAGAGGCACAGGCCUCGCCCUCUGGGGCCUCACCUCCUCCUUGAACUCAAAUUCUGACAGAGCCCCCAUCACAUUCCCCUGUGCCUCUGCGGCCAUUCCCUGCAGAUCAUCUGCCCAGCGGCCCCCUCCACCUGACAGGUGACCCUCACAAGGGGCCAGGAGGAACAGAGCCACAGCCAUGCCUCCUGUGGCCAGGGGUCCUCCUCAGUCUAGACAGCACCUGCGAUGCUCCACAGCACCUGCGAUGCUCCACGGCACCUGUGCCCCUCCUCGUGUGCCUGGUGGCCAGGACCCACUCCCUGGCUCAGGCUGUGGGCAAGACAGGCAGCACCCCUCAGGGCAGCCAUGUGAGUCCCAUCGCACCUGUCACUCAGCCAUGGACUGUCCGUCUGCCCAGCACCCCUCCCCACUGGGGAACUUCACGGCUCUUAGGGUCAGUGCAUAUGUGUGCGUGUGCAUGUGCUCACACAUCCUGAAGUCCCCCUGGGCUCAGCCCUUCACUGGCUUUGAGCUCCUCCGCCUGAGGACUCCUGGGUGGACAAAUGGGCUGGCCAGAGGUGAAGGCAGCAGUGACUGGGGGCCUCGGGAGAAGGCUGUGGCCCAGUGUGACCACAGGGCAGAAAGGGCAUGCGGAGGAGAGGCCGGACAGUGGCUUGUAGGAAUGAAGGCCCAGGCAGCAAAGACAAGAGUAUGAGGUUGACCAGAUGGCUCUGGGGCUGGGGGUGUUUCUGUGAUUUCAAGUGAUCACAUAGUGAAUUAUUUUUACACUUAACAAAGCCACCGAAGUAUGGAAAUCCAUCCUGACAGCAGAAGACUAGGUGUGUGAAGUCACUUUAGAAGUCAUUCUGUGUUGGGGGGUUUGGAGGGGCCUCUGUGGAGCCCACAGCUUGUCCCCUCUGCCUUCUGGGCUGGCCCAGGGCUUGGAGGCAGAGGCCCCUUGGGGUCCUGGUGGGAUGAGCCAUUGUGUGGGGAGGGCCUACUGUGGCCGCACUGGGAGGGAGCCUGGACGCCAGCUCCGCGGCAGGAUUGCACCUCCCCCUCUCCUCCUGGCCAUGCCUGUGCUGAGGCCCUGGGAGGGCGGUGCCUGACCUCUGAGAAUGUCGCUCUAAUGGUGGAAUUUCAGGUACCGCCACGUAGGGAAGAGUCUCGUGAGAAGGGCAUUUUCCAGCCUCUGUCACAAAAUCUCCACGGGAAUUCAGACCUCAUCUAGUUCCACCCUCUUGUUUUGCAGAAGAGGAGGCUGAGGGCCUGGGAGACCAAGGCUGCCCACCUGUGGGUGGCAAAGCCCAGGCACCCAGCGCCCCCAGCUCCCUGCCCCCUGCUCUUUCCGCCCACCCACACACCCAGCAGCUGGCCUCUGCUCGCUUGCUGGACACCUCGACAGCCCCACCGCCAGCUGCAGGUGCGCACAAGGGACCCGUCACAAGCAUCUUGCCCUGUGGCCUCCUCGGAAGCGAGCGAGUGGACCACAGAGGUCGUUUCCCAACCAUGUGGCUGAGCCCAGCCCGAGGCAGGACAGGGCUCAGGGUGGGAAGCAGGGCUGCUCGGAGGAGCCAGGAUGGGGCGGCCAAGCCGAUGGCCUGUGGAGCUGCCUCCGGACUCCUAACGCGCCGGGUGUUUUUGCUCCUGCUGUCACUUAUGUAUCGGUGUCACUCUUGCUUCAUCUUAUCUGUUUCCUUCCAGGUCCAGCUUUAGGGGCGGCUGCCAGGCCUUAGGAGCCUUUGCAAUGGUUUUGUAUUCCUGUAGACACCAGAUAUAAACAGAUUUAUAUAUUUGUGUCCCUCCCCUGCUCCCCCCGGUUCCCCAGCCCGAUGCACACUCUACACGCAGGCCACUCUGACCUCUGACCCCGUGUUCCAUGUGGCAGGAGGGCCCGCCCCGGGCCAGGCCCCAGGUCAUGGCUGCUGGCUGUCUGUGGCGGAAGUCCUUGGUUGUUUCCUCUCCCCUCCUCCCGGCUCUGACCAUUCUGUCCGUCUAUCUCGUCUCGUCCUCAGUUUCAAAGCAAUGUCAUGAAGGGCUUCCUUUCCAUGCCUAAAAGGAAACAAUAUGUUUUUGGAAAGAGGUGGGGUUGGGGCGGGUUCUGGGGCAACUUGGGGCCCUCGGUCUUGGGGCAAUCAGAGGAUAUCUCUGGAUCGGCUGGCAUCAUAGCCAGCUGGGAGCCUCCCAAGCCUGGGUCACGUUGGAGAAUCUGCCACCCGAGGGAGGCAGGGCCAGGCUGGGAUGCAUCGGCCUGCUUUGGUGGAGACGCCAGGGCCUGCAGUGGGCUGAACCGUAUUGUUUCCCUUUGAGGCCAGUCCUGGUCCUCGUCCCCAUCCAUAGCUCAUGCUUUUUGAUUUGCAUCUUUCUUUGCAUGGACAUGCCGAGUAGUGAUAAGCAGGGUUUUCUGUUCUUUUGGGCAUCUCUGGUCAGACUCUUCUCUUUCAGAUCCCGUGUCAGAGCAUUAGGUUCAGGUGUGUCAUUGCUGUGUCCUUUGAGCCCUAAAACCAAGGGCGUGACCAAGGUGUGCAGGGAGAUCUAGCCCUGUGAGGAAGCGGCACGGUGGCCGCAGCGCAGGAGGUAAGGACACCCUGGUCUCUGUGCCUAGGUCCGUGCAAGAGAGCGGCCAGGGCAGCCGGGAGAAGCUGGAGCUCGUCCUGUCGAACCUGCAGGCGGACGUCUUGGAGUUGCUGCUGGAGUUUGUCUACACGGGCUCCCUGGUCAUCGACUCGGCCAACGCCAAGACACUGCUGGAGGCGGCCAGCAAGUUCCAGUUCCACACCUUCUGCAAAGUCUGUGUGUCCUUUCUCGAGAAGCAGCUGACAGCCAGCAACUGCCUGGGCGUGCUGGCCAUGGCCGAGGCCAUGCAGUGCAGCGAGCUCUACCACAUGGCCAAGGCCUUCGCGCUGCAGAUCUUCCCCGAGGUGGCCGCCCAGGAGGAGAUCCUCAGCAUCUCCAAGGACGACUUCAUUGCCUACGUCUCCAACGACAGCCUCAACACCAAGGCUGAGGAGCUGGUGUACGAGACGGUCAUCAAGUGGAUCAAGAAGGACCCCGCGACACGCACACAGUACGCGGCUGAGCUCCUGGCCGUGGUCCGCCUCCCCUUCAUCCACCCCAGCUACCUGCUCAAUGUGGUUGACAAUGAAGAGCUGAUCAAGUCAUCAGAAGCCUGCAGGGACCUGGUGAAUGAGGCCAAACGCUACCAUAUGCUCCCCCACGCCCGCCAGGAGAUGCAGACGCCCCGAACCCGGCCGCGCCUCUCUGCAGGUGUGGCUGAGGUCAUCGUCUUGGUUGGGGGCCGUCAGAUGGUGGGGAUGACCCAGCGCUCGCUGGUGGCCGUCACCUGCUGGAACCCGCAGAACAACAAGUGGUACCCCUUGGCCUCACUGCCCUUCUAUGACCGCGAGUUCUUCAGUGUAGUGAGUGCCGGGGACAACAUCUACCUCUCAGGUGGGAUGGAAUCAGGGGUGACGCUGGCUGAUGUCUGGUGCUACAUGUCCCUGCUUGAUAACUGGAACCUCGUCUCCAGAAUGACAGUCCCCCGCUGUCGGCACAAUAGCCUCGUCUACGAUGGGAAGAUUUACACCCUCGGGGGACUUGGCGUGGCGGGCAACGUGGACCACGUGGAGAGGUACGACACCAUCACCAACCAAUGGGAGGCGGUGGCCCCUCUGCCGAAGGCAGUACACUCUGCUGCAGCCACGGUGUGUGGCGGCAAGAUCUACGUGUUUGGUGGGGUGAACGAGGCAGGCCGAGCUGCCGGCGUCCUCCAGUCUUACGUUCCUCAGACCAACACGUGGAGCUUCAUCGAGUCCCCAAUGAUUGACAACAAGUAUGCCCCCGCUGUCACGCUCAAUGGCUUCGUUUUCAUCCUGGGCGGGGCUUAUGCCAGAGCCACCACCAUCUACGACCCUGAGAAAGGAAACAUUAAGGCGGGCCCAAACAUGAACCACUCUCGCCAGUUCUGCAGUGCCGUGGUGCUUGAUGGCAAGAUUUAUGCAACUGGAGGCAUUGUCAGCAGUGAAGGGCCCGCGCUGGGCAACAUGGAGGCCUACGAGCCCACAACCAACACAUGGACCCUCCUCCCCCACAUGCCCUGCCCUGUGUUCAGACACGGCUGCGUCGUGAUAAAGAAAUAUAUUCAAAGCGGCUGACAUCAGCAGAAAGCCCACAAUAAGACUGUGGACAAGUCUGGUGAGGCAAGUGCCAUGCAAUGAUAAUUUUCCAGCGACACCAACAAGAGGCCAACAAAACACAAUCAAGGAACUCACUGCGCUCAACAUGUUGAAUAUUCUCUACAUUGAAUGUAGAAAAUCAUCCUCGCCUUUGGAUGUAACGGAGGCACCGCGCUUGGAGCCGCAGGAACCACGAUCCCGCUGCGGGGCUGGCUGCCUCCUGAACAGGGGCGCUCGCUCUGCCAGGUGCAAUAGAGUUUCACAUAUUUUUCAACUGGGAGAGAGAAGCCGUUUUUUCCUUCCUGCAGAGCAAGCUUGAUCCCUAAACAACCAUAGAUCAGUUAUCUUAUGACAACAUUAGGCAUCAGGCUCUCUUGGAAUAAGAUCAAAGUGUCCUUAUCACUUUGAUUCCAACUUUUGUUUUUUAACCAGUCUACACUUUCAGUGGCCGACAGAAAACAAGGGACAAUACUGUGCAUCACAAGGCCUAGGAGGCUGCUGGUCCCCACCGGGGCUGAAGAGAAGCCCAGCUGCCCACGCGGAGCCAGGGGUGGCAGCCGUGGGACAGCCGGGGAGCGGGGACAGCAGUCUGUCCUUCACAGGUUUUUCUACUGUGUUUUUGCUGGAGAAGGACAGUGAUUGCGCUAGCUUUCUCUUACCCAGGAUGAAUUAUUUAGAUUUCUGAGGCAUUUUCUUGAUAAACAAAAGGCUAUUUUUAAGUACUGAGAGGAGGAGCAGGCCACAAGAGGGAUAAUGUUGUGGGAAUUCCCAAAGCUCUUUGUAAGUAGUGCCAGAGGGGGGCUUUUGCUCUCAUUUUUCUAUGUGCAGAAUAGAGGAUCUCUCCUGGGGUGGGCGAUGCCCCCAUUUUAUUUUUAGAAAAAGUAACUCCCAGACAGCCCCAUAAAAGCUGUGCCCAAGGAAGAAGAGUCUGCUCUAGAAGGAGCCCGGUUCUGGCUCAGGACAACGGCCCAGCUCCCUCCAUGAGGUCAAGCUGAGGACCCAGGCCAGUGGGAAGGGAAGGAGGGAGAAUAAGCAUCUAUAAAGCACAGGAGACUAUUUUUGAUAUUCAUAGCUAUAUAUUAAGGCACCUGCCGCAAGAGCUCUCAGGAUGGGGACAGCCUUCUUAGUGGAGGCAUGGCAGCAAGGCCUGAGGGCAUGAGCAGAACCACUCUUCUUGUCACAUACGAACCUGAGAAAAGGGAAGCCAGGAGGGAGGUCACACCAUGGCUCAAAAGGGAAAGGUCUUCCCGCUUGUCCUUAGCCCCUCAAACCUCACACGGUCAACAGUUUCCAUUCCAGGGCAGGAAGAAUGCUGCCGCCACCGCCGCCGCCACUGCGCUGUUGAGUUGAAGUUGGUACCAAAUACACAUUUACCACUUUUAUAUCUGGGAAGUCAACUUGCCAUCGUUUCAUGAUAACAACCAUUUGUAAGAGAAAAAGGACACGCUUUCCAUCGUUCAGUAUUUAUUUGAUGACACAAAAUUCCAGUUCUAACGCUGGGCAUCAACUUCUAGCACUACGAGUGUGGCUCCCACUUGGACAAGAUACCGAGCUUCGUUAUGCAGUUUUUAAUAUUAUUUAUUAUUUUAAAAAGUAAUAAGCACAAAACUACAUACAUUGUAUGUCAUUUAAAGUAUUUAUGUCAAACAGGGUGCAAGUGUGAACCCAAGGACUGGAGCACAAAUUCCUAACUGCCUGGGGCAGGGCUAAUGUUAGCAUUGGUGUGCGUCUGCCUCCAAAGGAGGUUCUAGUGGUCAGCGAGACUCAACACAGAUGACAUUGAAAUUCCGUUUCUCUCCUCAUCUAUCACACUGGAGCAAAACUGGCUAUUUCUGUGAAUGAUAUAAAACAGGGUUCUCUGUAAUGGUAUUGUACAUAGUAUAUGUUUAUUGUUAAGUUCUUGUUAUAUUAUAAUAAAUAUAUUUAUAGAUCUAGACUUGG
rnacentral:sRNA from 1 species